CACGAACUUAGCCCGUGCUUCCUCCAGGGAUAGGUCAACCUUGCGGCUUCCUCCCCCUCGACAGUGCUUUACAACCCGAAGGCCUUCAUCGCACACGCGGCGUCGCUUGGUCAAGCUUGCGCUCAUUGCCAAAGAUCCUCGACUGCAGCCUCCCGUAGGAGUCUGGCCAGUGUCUCAGUGCCAGUGGCGCGGGUCGUGCUCUCACACCCGCUACGCGUCUUUGCCUUGGUGAGCCGUUACCUCACCAACUAGCUGAUACGACAUGGGCCCCUCUUCAGGCGAAAUUCUUUAGUGAUCCGGUGAUGCCGCCCAAUCACCACGCCGUGUAUUACCCAAUCGUUAGAAAGGCUAUCCACGACCUGAAGGUAGGUUACCCAUGUAUUACUGCCCCUUUCGCCACUUCUCCAGCAGAGUUGCCCCCAUAGAUUCGUUCGACUUGCAUGCCUAAUCCACGCCGCAACGUUCAUUCUGAGCCAGGAUCAAACUCU
rnacentral:rRNA from 1 species